rnacentral:rRNA from 1 species
CAGCAGCCGCCGCGGGAAUACCGAGGGUGCGAGCGUUAAUCGGAUUUACUGGGCGUAAAGCGUGCGUAGGCGGCUUUUUAAGUCGGAUGUGAAAUCCCUGAGCUUAACUUAGGAAUUGCAUUCGAUACUGGGAAGCUAGAGUAUGGGAGAGGAUGGUAGAAUUCCAGGUGUAGCGGUGAAAUGCGUAGAGAUCUGGAGGAAUACCGAUGGCGAAGGCAGCCAUCUGGCCUAAUACUGACGCUGAGGUACGAAAGCAUGGGGAGCAAACAGGAUUAGAUACCCCAGUAGUCCCUGUCUCUUAUAC